rnacentral:rRNA from 1 species
GGAAUAUUGGACAAUGGGCGCAAGCCUGAUCCAGCCAUGCCGCGUGUGUGAAGAAGGCCUUCGGGUUGUAAAGCACUUUCGGACGGAACGAAAUCGCGCGCAUGAACAAUGCGCGUGGAUGACGGUACCGUAAGAAGAAGCACCGGCUAACUACGUGGCAGAAGCCGCGGUAAUACGUAGGGUGCAAGCGUUAAUCGGAAUUACUGGGCGUAAAGGGUGCGCAGGCGGCCCCGCAUGUCGAGUGUGAAAUCCCCGGGCUUAACUUGGGAAUGGCGCUCGAAACUACGGGGCUGGAGUGUGGCAGAGGGAGGUGGAAUUCCAGGUGUAGCGGUGAAAUGCGUAGAGAUCUGGAGGAACACCGAUGGCGAAGGCAGCCUCCUGGGCCAACACUGACGCUCAUGCACGAAAGCGUGGGGAGCAAAC